UUCGGGCUCCGGCCCGAUCCUCCCACCCUUUGUGUACCUACCUCUGUUGCUUUGGCGGGCCGCGGUCCUCCGCGGCCGGCCCCCCUCCCCCGGGGGGUGGCCAGCGCCCGCCAGAGGACCAUCAAACUCCAGUCAGUAAACGAUGCAGUCUGAAAAACAUUUAAUAAACUAAAACUUUCAACAACGGAUCUCUUGGUUCUGGCAUCGAUGAAGAACGCAGCGAAAUGCGAUAAGUAAUGUGAAUUGCAGAAUUCAGUGAAUCAUCGAAUCUUUGAACGCACAUUGCGCCCUUUGGUAUUCCGAAGGGCAUGCCUGUUCGAGCGUCAUUACAACCCUCAAGCUCUGCUUGGUAUUGGGCACCGUCCUUUGCGGGCGCGCCUCAAAGACCUCGGCGGUGGCGUCUUGCCUCAAGCGUAGUAGAACAUACAUCUCGCUUCGGAGCGCAGGGCGUCGCCCGCCGGACGAACCUUCUGAACUUUUCUCAAGGUUGACCUCGGAUCAGGUAGGGAUACCCGCUGAACUUAA
rnacentral:rRNA from 1 species